AGGGCACUACCAGGAGUGGAUCCUGCGGCUCAAUUUGACUCAACACGGGAAAGCUCACCUGGUCCGGACACUGGAAGGAUUGACAGAUUAAGAGCUCUUUCUUGGUUCAGUGGGUGGUGGUGCAUGGCCGUUCUUAGUUGGUGGAGCGAUUUGUCUGGUUAAUUCCGAUAACGAACGAGACUCUAGCCUACUAAAUAGGUGUUCCGAUCCCAUCAGUCGGACGCUCUUCUUAGAGGGACAAGCGGCGUUUAGCCGCACGAGACAGAGCAAUAACAGGUCUGUGAUGCCCUUAGAUGUCCGGGGCCGCACGCGCGCUACACUGAAGGAACCAGCGUGUGUCCCUGUCCGGCAGGACUGGGUAAUCCGUUGAACCUCCUUCGUGAUAGGGAUAGGGGCUUGUAAUUGUUCCCCUUGAACGAGGAAUUCCCAGUAAGCGUGAAUCAUCAGUUCACGUUGAUUACGUCCCUGGCCUUUGUACACACCGCCCGUCGCUACUACUGAUUGGACGAUUUAGUGAGG
rnacentral:rRNA from 1 species